CCUACGGGUGGCAGCAGUGAGGAAUAUUGGUCAAUGGCCGGAAGGCUGAACCAGCCAAGUCGCGUGAGGGACGACUGCCCUAUGGGUUGUAAACCUCUUUUAUAAGGGAAGAAUAAAUGCUACGUGUAGCAUGAUGCCCGUACCUUAUGAAUAAGCAUCGCCUAACACGGUGCAAGCAGCCGCGGUAAUACGGAGGAGGUGAGCGUUAUCCGGAUUUAUUGGGUUUAAGGGGUGCGUAGUGGGUUUUUUAAGUUAGUGGUUAAACGUCGGGGCUACACCUUGAUUUGCCAUUAAUACUGUAAGACUCGAGUUCAGACGAGGUAGGCGGAAUAAGUUAAGUAGCGGUGAAAUGCUUAGAUAUAA
rnacentral:rRNA from 1 species